rnacentral:snRNA from 1 species
AAAUGUGAGAGGGAUCUGGCUGUGACAUCUGUCACCGCAUUGAUUGCCAGGGUUGAUUUGUAUGAUCUGACUGUCUGGGCAGGUGUCUCUUCCUCGCUCACUGCUCUCUGUGCAUGCCCCCUGAAGCUAUGCACUCAGUGGAAGAGGAUGAUCAACUCAGAUACAAGGAGUGUAACGUUCUUUGAUUGC